rnacentral:rRNA from 1 species
GACAGAGGGUGCAAACGUUGCUCGGAAUCACUGGGCGUAAAGGGCGUGUAGGCGGAUAGGUAAGUCGGGCGUGAAAUCCCCGGGCUCAACCUGGGAACUGCAUCUGUGACUGUAUAGCUAGAGUACGGUAGAGGGGGAUGGAAUUCCGCGUGUAGCAGUGAAAUGCGUAGAUAUGCGGAGGAACACCGAUGGCGAAGGCAAUCCCCUGGACCUGUACUGACGCUCAUGCACGAAAGCGUGGGGAGCAAACAGG